GGGAGUCACUGUUCAAACAUACUUUUCAAAGUCUGAUCGAAAUAUCAAAACUUACAUUUCAAGGAGGAGCGAAACUGUUACUGAACUAUACAAAGAAAAGGAACUUUAAUAUUCAGCACACUGCAAUACAUGACACUGACACAUUACUUCAUUCAGCAUGCAGUCACUGCAUCUAUGUGUCUUUUCACUACUAUAUAUUUUCAUUAUAUCAGGUAUCAGCUGUAAAGAAGUCGCUCCAGAGAAGAAUGAACAGUACAGUUUAGAGAACAGUACUGUUACUCUGUCCUACAGAUACUCACAAC